GACGAACCGUGCGAACGUUGUUCGGAAUAACUGGGCUUAAAGGGCGCGUAGGCGGCUUUCUAAGUCAGGGGUGAAAUCCGGCAGCUCAACUGUUGCAGUGCCUUUGAUACUGGAAAGCUCGAGGGAGGUAGGGGUCUGUGGAACUUCCGGUGGAGCGGUGAAAUGCGUUGAUAUCGGAAGGAACGCCGGUGGCGAAAGCGACGGACUGGAUCUCUUCUGACGCUGAGGCGCGAAAGCCAGGGGAGCAAACGGG
rnacentral:rRNA from 1 species